GUAAACUUGUAAUAAGAGCGUUGUUCUUCUCUGAAACUAAUAUGGCCUCUUCCCCAUGGGAAUUUAGAGAGUCUGGUCACCGUAAAAAGAUCCAAAUCUACGUACGCACUCUGUAAAAGCACAUGAACUUGCAACCGACACAAUGAGUAUAAAAUACGAUCAAACUUACAUAUCUCCAGCCCAGUAUCUGCUGCCAACUGCCAAGAGCUGCAAUAAAUGUUAUUCACAGUGUGUAACCCACUCAUAAGAUGCCGGUCUUCAUUCGGCCCCAGAGAUAUGUUCACCCUGAAAUGCAACCAUGGAAAUUUAAAAUAACAAAAUAUUUAUCAAUAAAAUAAAUUAUAAAAAUUAUAACACUUGAAUUAUUUAUACAAAAUAUUUAUUUUAAUGUAAUUAAAAUAUUUUAUGAGAUAUAUAGUAAUUACUA